CGCUGCCAGUGACGAAUGAAUCGCCCUCCUACGCACGGACUACCUAGCCAAUUAGGCUAAGGUAGUGGAGACAGAAAGAGCGACUGGAGUUUACAAUAAAACUGAAGCGCUGCGAGCCUACUUGAGAAAAGUUCAUUAAAUGGAAAAUUGACCCAGUUCUCUGCACAUUCAUUAGAAGAGGUUCAGAGAAGCUGUUGCAGUCUUCCCAGAUUGGCUGAUGAGUUUGGAAGAGGGAUUCCAUGAGAUCAACCAAGGCUUUUGGCUUCUCUGAGUAUGACGAGGUGUUGUUUCCAAUUGAGGAGGCUCCUGGGGGUCUCCAGAAGAUUGGGAAGCUGAUUCAAUGAAGAUCAAGUUAUUAAGAAGUAUGAGGAAAGAAGCAGACUGUCCUGCAGUUAGCAGAUUGGUCCAGACGCCCUCACAACUCUCGUGGACACUACUAACCCUGUUGGGAUGAUCAACCUCUAACAUUUUCCUGUACUUAAUUUAAGCCUCCGGUUUCCAAGUCCCAGAAGCGAGCCUCCAGCUGGUCAAAUUUAAGUCACCUGCCAACACCUAACUGUUGAAUCAGGAGAGAUAAUUUCUUUCCUUUGGCUUCCUCAUAAAAGACAGCCUCCAAGAAUUUUUCUGCCCCGAUACUUAAAAUAAUAGUAAAGGGUUACUACUGGGGUGCUACCAGGGAGAGGGAAUUAAGAUGGGAAGACCAAAAAUGAAAAAGGGGCAAAAAUGAUCACUAAACUACUUCAAAAUUGAAAUAACCAGCAAUGGAGGAUUAAAGAAGUAAUUAUGUUCUGUCACAUCUACCUAAUAAAAUGCAAAUGAACAAUUAAAAA